CACGGUUUUCACCACGCUCAACUAGUUUGUUCUCUCCCUGAAAGAAGGCAGUGAAGUGCACCAAAGACACGAGGUCCACUUGGAGUUUUACGGAUGGGCGGGACUUACCAGGAUAAAAACAUUUCCUUCGAGCCGGAUUCGAACCAGCGACCUAAGGAUGGCAGCAAACCUCUACAGUCCUCCGCUCUACCAACUGAGCUAUCGAAGGCGUUGAAAACUACGUUGGUCCCCGAUCGCAGAUUACAUUCACUCUUACAUACAAAUCGAACAAUUUUUUGACAUACCAGUCUGCUUUCUUCAAGCUGUCUAUUUUCGCUCCCCUGGCAAUGAGAUACCGCACACACUCACAAUGACCCAUGGAAGAAGCCUCAUGCAAAGCUCUCUUGUAGUCGCUGUUGUACACAUCAAUGUCCAUGCUGAGCUCCUCUAC